GACGAACGCUGGCGGCGUGCUUAACACAUGCAAGUCGAACGGUAAGGCCCUUCGGGGUACACGAGUGGCGAACGGGUGAGUAACACGUGGGUGAUCUGCCCUGCACUUCGGGAUAAGCCUGGGAAACUGGGUCUAAUACCGGAUAGGACCACUGCCUGCAUGGGUGGUGGUGGAAAGCUUUUGCGGUGUGGGAUGGGCCCGCGGCCUAUCAGCUUGUUGGUGGGGUGAUGGCCUACCAAGGCGACGACGGGUAGCCGGCCUGAGAGGGUGACCGGCCACACUGGGACUGAGAUACGGCCCAGACUCCUACUGGAGGCAGCAGUGGGGAAUAUUGCACAAUGGGCGCAAGCUUGAUGCAGCGACGCCGCGUGAGGGAUGACGGCCUUCGGGUUGUAAACCUCUUUCAGCACCGACGAAGCGCAAGUGACGGUAGGUGCAGAAGAAGGACCGGCCAACUACGUGCAGCCGCCGCAGUAA
rnacentral:rRNA from 1 species